UUUUAAAAGGUGAAUUUUAGUGCUCACUGAAACGAUACAGAGAAGACUAGCAUGGCCCCUGUGCAAGGAUGACACGCAAAUUCGUGAAGUGUUCCAUAUGAAA
ensembl:snRNA U6 U6 spliceosomal RNA